CCUACGGGAGGCUGCAGUGGGGAAUAUUGGACAAUGGGGGGAACCCUGAUCCAGCCAUGCCGCGUGUGUGAAGAAGGCCCUCGGGUUGUAAAGCACUUUCAGUGAGGAAGAACGCCUGGUGGUUAAUACCCAUCAGGAAAGACAUCACUCACAGAAGAAGCACCGGCUAACUCCGUGCCAGCAGCCGCGGUAAUACGGAGGGUGCGAGCGUUAAUCGGAAUUACUGGGCGUAAAGCGCGCGUAGGUGGCUUGAUAAGCCGGUUGUGAAAGCCCCGGGCUCAACCUGGGAACGGCAUCCGGAACUGUCAAGCUAGAGUGCAGGAGAGGAAGGUAGAAUUCCCGGUGUAGCGGUGAAAUGCGUAGAGUUCGGGAGGAAUACCAGUGGCGAAGGCGGCCUUCUGGACUGACACUGACACUGAGGUGCGAAAGCGUGGGUAGCAAACAGGAUUAGAUACCCGUGUAGUC
rnacentral:rRNA from 1 species